rnacentral:lncRNA from 10 species
CAUUUGUAUGCAUGAUAAUGUGCAUUGUCAAGCCAUUGAUCACAUCAUUUUAUACUUUCAGAAGGAGCCAAAGCAAUUGUAAUUGGUAUAAUAAAGCCCAGCUGGUGAGCCAAUCUCUGGAAUAACUCGGGACUAGCACAGCAGGGGCAGAGUGAAGAAUGUAUUUGAGGAAGAAAAUGAGAAUUUGAACUGAUAUGUUUCAUAGUGAUAUUAAUCACAUUCUUUGGAUAAAGGAUUUUCUGAUGAGAAAAGGAAGAAAAUCAUGAAUGACUUCACAACACAAUUUUUACCUGUAACCAGCCAAUACUUCAAAUUUUAGAUAUUAGAUGUGUGUUAGAUUGUAAGAGAUCUUGGUAAUCAUCAUGUUCAACUUCCUGCCCCAGUCAAGAUUCUGUUUCUACAUCUUCAUUGAUAGAUGCUUCCAUUGCUACUUGAAUAUCUAGGAUAGGAAGAAACAUUCUUUAUCAAAAGGAAAUUCAUUCAAUUUUAAAUCACUUACAUAUCCAUAAAGCUGUUUUAAGAGUAAACUGAAAAAUGUUAAUGCAAGCCAUUCAUUCCAUUUUAAUUUUUAGAGAAAACAUGACCUUGUUAUUUCUUUUCACCUGACCAUUCUUCCUGUCAUAUGGUAGAAACUUCCAAAUGCAUUUCUAGUUCACUCCCAGACUAUGUUAGUCACUAGAAAUAAAAGUGGAACAGAAAUUAAUAACUUUGAUACAUUUAGCAAAUGUAGUUUGAAAAUCUUAAUAGUUGUAACUACAACUAAAUCUAUAUUAAGUUUCAGCAAUAAGCCAGAAGAUUCGUCAAAGUCUUUUAUUUGUAGAAACAAUUUCAACAACAUUCUUUUCACUUUUUUCUGCAAAAAUUUACCUAUACUACGAGUCUGAUAUAUGACUCAAAGUUUGCAUCUAGAUAGAUCGUUAAAAAUGGUUGACUACACAAUAACAGAAAGGAAAGAAGAAAGGAAGGAAGGAGAGAAGGAAGGAAGGAAAUAUAAAAGUUAUAUUCAAAAUUGGAAAACUAUUUAGUUUUAAAAGGACAGAUAGUCAUAAUAUAUAAUGACCUUAAUAUAUAAAUACUUUUUCCAUGUCCAUGAAAAGAUAGAAAAACGGUCAAAGAUAUGUGGCAAGCAGCCUCUAAGAUGAUGCCUAAUAUCUCAUUUUCUGUUAUUGAUGCCCUUAUAUGAUCCUUUCCCCUUGAGUAUGAACUCUACAAGAUCACUCCCUUCUAAUGAAUAAAAUGUAGCAAAAGUGAUAGAUGUCACUUCCAAAAUUAGAUUAAAAAUUCUGCCUCGAGCACACUCUCUUACUGUCUUUCUCACCCUUGAGGAAGCCAGCUGCUAUGUCAUGUGUACCUCCAUGGCAAUACACAGAUAGCAAACGACUGAGGCCUGACAACAACCACAUGAGUGGGCUUGGGAGCAGAUUUCCUCCCCCAACAGUUCAAUCUUCAGAUUAGACAGUAUCCUUCAUGAAAACUUCACUGGAACCUCAUGAGAAAUCUUGAGCUAAAGCACCCAGAUAAGCUGCGCCCAGAAUUUUGGCCCACAGAAACUGAGAGAUAAUAAAUGUUUAAGUUGCUGAAUUUGAGGAUAAUUUGUUACAUAGCAGUAGGUAAGUAUUAUAGAAUUAUAAUUAUAAUUAAUACUAUUAUUACAAUUGAUAAACAUCAAAGAGAUGAUUUAUGGAAAAAAAUUGUUAACCAAGAUUUAUACAAAUAUCUUUAACACCAUUAGGAAUUUGAUAAAUAAAAAUUGAAACAGUAAUGACCACUUUUACAGCUCAAAUUGAAAUAUAGAAUAAUUUAAAAAUUUUACUUACUGAGUUUCUAAAAGAAAUAAUGUUUGUAUUCAUGUUUGUUUCUGAGUAUAGGUUUUAGAGAUUUCAAAAUUGAAAAUUUUGAUUUAUUGAACGUCUAAAGGGAAGAGGACACAACACAUACAAACAUGUGUCCUCUCCCCUUGAGACACACAUACAUUUAUGUGUAUCUGCAUAUUUGUGUUGAGGAUUGAGUGGGCCUUGCAAUAGAAAUGCCCUAUGUCUCAUAAAAAAACUCAGAAAUGUUUCAAGUUGUUCUCGUUAUACUGUACAUUACUUUAGAUCCUGUAUGUUUCAUGUGGCACCCAGGAUUCAAAAACUAAAAGAUUUGGGUUCUUUUCAUCUCUACCAUGAAGUUUAUGAGCUUAUAUAUAAUUUUUUCCCAGAGCCUUAGCUCCUUUUCUCUAUAAAGUGAACAUCGUACUCAUAACUUUCUGUACAAGGUAGUAAAAAUUAUUGAGAUAAUGUAUGUGAAAAUGCAUUGUAAAUAGCAAAACAGCAUUGUAGGUAGCUCAUUGUAAAUGAGCAAAGUGAUAUGUAUUUAUAAAGUGUUAUCAUCUUGUAAGUUCUCAUUCCCCAAAGCAUUUGUGGCUCUAGGGUAAAACUAUAACCAGUGAAGGUAAACAGCCAGGUUUUAGCCUCCACUGAGUUCUAACACUAGUCAAUUACAGCUCUUGUUUCUAAUUUUGAGUGAGCAGAGAACCCUGAAAUUCAUUAAAGCUUAAAGGUAUGCAGCCAAAGAAUCCUAUUUCUACACAAUAGGCCUCAUCCUAUUUGGUUCAUCCUUCAGAUUUAUCCUGGAGAUAAAUAUAUUUAUUUCAGUAAAUUACAAUUUUUAAAGAGUAGUCAUAUAUUUGAUCUUCACCAAAACUCUGUUAAAGGCAAGCAUUAUCGUUUUUGUUUGACAAGUGAAGCAAUUAAGAAAUAAGUAAGUUCUCUAAUGUUAUAUUCCCAAUAAAACAGCUGGAACUCAAGAAUUAUGAAUUCUAGGGCAGUAUUGUUUGCUGUGUUUUUUUUUUUUUUUGUGGCAACAGUACUUAUAAUUUUGAAUAAUUGAAGGUAACUCUAUGUCCAAAAAUCAGGGUGUUGGGUAAAUAGUGGUACAUCAAUAAAGUAGUAUAUUGUAUAGUUAUCCAAAGUGAUAAUAAAGAAGGAUACAGGCAAUUGCAGGUUAGGUACAUUUGUAUGUAUUUUAUAAUUGUAAGUAUUUCUCCAGGAAAACAGGUGCAGGUCAAAAGGAAUAUGAGAUCUAAAAUAAAGUGCUACUAUAACAUUUUU